rnacentral:tRNA from 1 species
GGCUGGGUAGCUCAGAUGGUCAGAGCGAGCGUUUCAUAAGCGUUAGGUCGUGGGUUCGAUUCCCACCCCAGCCA